GUCGUAACAAGGUAGCCGUAGGGGAACCUGCGGUUGGAUCACCUCCUUACCUGAAGAUACCUUCCCGCGCAGUGCUCACACAGAUUGUCUGAUAGAAAAGUAACGAGCAGAAAAAACCUCUACAGGCUUGUAGCUCAGGUGGUUAGAGCGCACCCCUGAUAAGGGUGAGGUCGGUGGUUCAAGUCCACUCAGGCCUACCAAAUUUCUUCUCAUGCUGCGUUAAAGCGCCGCUCGUAUAGUGAACUAUACGUCGCGACCCUUUGCCCUGCCUGAAAAGAAAUGACCGUUUGUCAAAAAACGGGACUCCUGGUGAGUGGUAGUAGUGGUCUCUGCAGUAACUGUAUGGGGCUAUAGCUCAGCUGGGAGAGCGCCUGCCUUGCACGCAGGAGGUCAGCGGUUCGAUCCCGCUUAGCUCCACCAUUACAGUGACUCAAAACAAUACUUCAGAGCAGACCGGCAACGGUAGGCUGCGAAGUAUUAUGCUCUUUAACAAUCCGGAACAAGCUGAAAAUUGAAACGACACGUCGCGUUCAUUCUCCGUAAUAAGAAUGAAUAAACGAUGUGUUCGAGUCUCUCAAAUGCUUGCAGUCUGCAUGCGUUGUAAAACGCCUGUGGGUUGUGAGGUUAAGCGACUAAGCGUACACGGUGGAUGCCUUGGC
rnacentral:misc_RNA from 1 species